rnacentral:snRNA from 1 species
AUACUUACCUGGCAUGUGAGAUACCAUGAUCACAAAGGUGGUUUUCAUAGAGGGUUUGUGCUCACACUUUCCCCUAGCUGAAAAAAAACAGAAAUUUUAUGACUUACAUGGGUCUGUAU